rnacentral:rRNA from 1 species
AGCAGUAGCCGCGGUAAAACGGAGGGUGCAAGCGUUAAUCGGAAUUACUGGGCGUAAGGCGUGCGUAGGCGGUUCGUUAAGUCUGUUGUGAAAGCCCCGGGCUCAACCUGGGAAUGGCAAUGGAUACUGGCGAGCUAGAGUGUGUCAGAGGAUGGUGGAAUUCCCGGUGUAGCGGUGAAAUGCGUAGAGAUCGGGAGGAACAUCAGUGGCGAAGGCGGCCAUCUGGGACAACACUGACGCUGAGGCACGAAAGCGUGGGGAGCAAACAGGAUUAGAUACCCCCGUAGUCCCUGUCUCUUAUAA